GCCACCCCAUUCCCUACUCUAAAAACAUUAUACAUAAGUAGCCACACAGGGAGCAAACAAAGAUACACAAUGCAGAAAAACAAAACCUUAGGAUUCCUUUCCUCGGCUUCCGUAUUAUCAGCCGAACCAUCUGUAACUGCAGGAAUCUUCAAAUUGUCCACAACAACACCACUGGGAGCACUUGUACCAGCAGAAGUACUGCUGCCAAUAGUUGAAGAAGAAAUUAGGUAGUGAUAUCCAGCAACUGACAAACAAAGGAUAACACGCAUGAACCACAAAAAAAAUACGUAACUGGUCAAGCAUUAACGAUGAUGAACUUGAUCCUCCAA
rnacentral:lncRNA from 1 species